ACAUCUGAUUUUCUACCGAGCUGCUUCAGGAUGUCACUUGCAGCUUUGAGCCCCGCCGCCAAAAAAGUGGCAUCAUUUUUUACCAUUAAAUUUUGCAUGGCUCUACGAUUUUGUGCAUCGUUGAACAAUCAUCGCUCAUCCCAUUGUU
ensembl:ncRNA T14E8.7 ncRNA